AUUAAGAGUUUGAUCCUGGCUCAGGACGAACGCUGGCGGCACGCUUAACACAUGCAAGUCGAACGAGAGAAGAGGAGCUUGCUUUUCUGAUCUAGUGGCGGACGGGUGAGUAACACGUGAGCAAUCUGCCUUUCAGAGGGGGAUACCGAUUGGAAACGAUCGUUAAUACCGCAUAACAUAAUUGAACCGCAUGAUUUGAUUAUCAAAGAUUUAUCGCUGAAAGAUGAGCUCGCGUCUGAUUAGCUAGUUGGUAAGGUAACGGCUUACCAAGGCGACGAUCAGUAGCCGGACUGAGAGGUUGAUCGGCCACAUUGGGACUGAGACACGGCCCAGACUCCUACGGGAGGCAGCAGUGGGGAAUAUUGCACAAUGGAGGAAACUCUGAUGCAGCGAUGCCGCGUGAGGGAAGAAGGUUUUAGGAUUGUAAACCUCUGUCUUCAGGGACGAAAAAAGACGGUACCUGAGGAGGAAGCUCCGGCUAACUACGUGCCAGCAGCCGCGGUAAUACGUAGGGAGCGAGCGUUGUCCGGAAUUACUGGGUGUAAAGGGAGCGUAGGCGGGAUCGCAAGUCAGAUGUGAAAACUAUGGGCUUAACCCAUAAACUGCAUUUGAAACUGUGGUUCUUGAGUGAAGUAGAGGUAAGCGGAAUUCCUAGUGUAGCGGUGAAAUGCGUAGAUAUUAGGAGGAACAUCAGUGGCGAAGGCGGCUUACUGGGCUUUAACUGACGCUGAGGCUCGAAAGCGUGGGGAGCAAACAGGAUUAGAUACCCUGGUAGUCCACGCCGUAAACGAUGAUUACUAGGUGUGGGGGGACUGACCCCUUCCGUGCCGCAGCAAACGCAAUAAGUAAUCCACCUGGGGAGUACGACCGCAAGGUUGAAACUCAAAGGAAUUGACGGGGGCCCGCACAAGCAGUGGAGUAUGUGGAUUAAUUCGAAGCAACGCGAAGAACCUUACCAGGUCUUGACAUCGUAUGCAUAGCUCAGAGAUGAGUGAAAUCUCUUCGGAGACAUAUAGACAGGUGGUGCAUGGUUGUCGUCAGCUCGUGUCGUGAGAUGUUGGGUUAAGUCCCGCAACGAGCGCAACCCUUACUGUUAGUUGCUACGCAAGAGCACUCUAGCAGGACUGCCGUUGACAAAACGGAGGAAGGUGGGGAUGACGUCAAAUCAUCAUGCCCCUUAUGACCUGGGCCUCACACGUACUACAAUGGCUGUCAACAGAGGGAAGCAAAGCCGCGAGGUGGAGCGAACCCCUAAAAGCAGUCUUAGUUCGGAUUGUAGGCUGCAACCCGCCUACAUGAAGUCGGAAUUGCUAGUAAUCGCAGAUCAGCAUGCUGCGGUGAAUACGUUCCCGGGCCUUGUACACACCGCCCGUCACGCCAUGGGAGUCGGUAACACCCGAAGCCUGUAGUCUAACCGCAAGGAGGACGCAGUCGAAGGUGGGAUUGAUGACUGGGGUGAAGUCGUAACAAGGUAGCCGUAUCGGAAGGUGCGGCUGGAUCACCUCCUU
rnacentral:rRNA from 1 species